rnacentral:tRNA from 1 species
GGAAAUGUAGCUCAGUGGUAGAGCAAUUGCCUAAGAUGUACAAAGCCCUGGGUUUGACUCCCAGCAAUACUU